UGGGGAAUAUUGCACAAUGGGCGCAAGCCUGAUGCAGCCAUGCCGCGUGUAUGAAGAAGGCCUUCGGGUUGUAAAGUACUUUCAGCGGGGAGGAAGGGAGUAAAGUUAAUACCUUUACUCAUUGACGUUACCCGCAGAAGAAGCACCGGCUAACUCCGUGCCAGCAGCCGCGGUAAUACGGAGGGUGCAAGCGUUAAUCGGAAUUACUGGGCGUAAAGCGCACGCAGGCGGUUUGUUAAGUCAGAUGUGAAAUCCCCGGGCUCAACCUGGGAACUGCAUCUGAUACUGGCAAGCUUGAGUCUCGUAGAAGGGGGUAGAAUUCCAGGUGUAGCGGUGAAAUGCGUAGAGAUCUGGAGGAAUACCGGUGGCGAAGGCGGCCCCCUGGACGAAGACUGACGCUCAGGUGCUAAAGCGUGGGGAGCAAACAGG
rnacentral:rRNA from 1 species